GUGAAUUUUUGUAAGUGAUCGAUCUAGAAGUCAUCAUACAGUUCUGAUUUGCCAUGUUCUUAACAUACUGUUUUAGUCAAUAAAGAUAAAUUGAGUGCACAUUAAUUCACAAAGGCAUUUGCAAUAUAUUUGACUCCUUUUCAUGUUUCUUCUUUUUCUCAACAGGAGCUACAUACACCCCAAAGGCUCUUUUCAGAGCCCAGGCCCAUUUUACACAGCGUCUUUGCCUUUGUACAUGUACUUGGCGCGUCAGCACACACGACGGCUGGAACUACAGCAUGGUCUCCCCAGUGGACCAGCACCACAACCAUCUGGAUUGAGCCGAGUAGGGGACAUCUCUAGGGUCUUCACAUAUUGAUACACACACCAUUGCGACUUAGAUCACCAUCACCACCAUCAUCCCCUGCAUCGUGCCCUUCAUCAGACACCCAAAAUGCACCACAAACAACACAGGCAAAGAAGAAGAAAACGCACAACAAAUCUCCUCCAGCCCAUCCCACAUCAUCGUAUAGUAAAGUGACGCCGCCGGAUAAUAAAGACGACUUGUGUGCUUUGCAGCACCCACGCUACCCUUUUCCAGGGGUCCUUCAG